rnacentral:lncRNA from 13 species
CUUUACUGAAAGAAGCUUGAUUUCUCAGGGCAGCAAUGUGCUUAGUUCAAAGAUCACCUUUCCCUUGAGAGAGGGUGUGGCUGUGUGACCAGGCUCCAACUGACUAGAUUUAUUUUGUGAGACUUCCAGGAAGGCUUCUUAAAAGGGAGGGAGGAGGUUUUUGCCCUGAUCCUUUCCUUUUUCCUCCCAGCUUGAAGGCCGAUAGGAAGCAAAUGCUCUCAUCAGCCAUCCUGGACUCUGAGGUGGAUUUGAAGAUAGGCUGUGCAUUGGUCCUAUGAAUGAGGCAGACAGGAUUAUUCCUACUUGGAGAUCACAAAGGAAAGGAUUAGAGCAGGGAAGGCACUUGACCCACACAUGUCCACUCCCUAAUACCAUCACCUUGGAGGGAUAUGACCAUUCAGACCAUAGCAGACCCAUCCAGUGUCUCUGAAUUCAGUGCUGUUAAUAGAAGAAAACCUAGAGGUUGUCGUCAACUGUCUUGUUCUACAGAUGGCAAUGAACACGUCUUUCCACCACUAUGGGGAGGACACUUGACUUCAAUAAGAAGUUACCCACAAAGAAAGUCAGUCCCUCUGUGUGAGUGCAGAGAACAAGCAAGCAGAAGACAACAUUCUGUAGCACAGAUAGUAGGACAUGCUGCUGGUUCUAUGCUUGAAGAAGUUUAAGAAUACUUAUGGUAUCCUGAUCUGAGUCCUGAGGCAGGGCUACUGAACUGAGCCAUCCCCACAUACUAAUAAGCAACUUCUUGCACAGCUCUAAUUUGUCCAGACGUAAGAAAGCUACCAACACAAUAUUCACUUGAAAAUGACAACUUUGCAAUAGUAGUUCUACCUACUCCUAACAAGCGGAAGAAUUCUUGCACAGACAUUCUUAUAUGCACUUAAACAUUGGCCGCUAAGGGGCUCCGGUCUGUUCAACUCUUGGUUCCUUAGAUAUUUUAAAAUAUCUCCCCCCAACUACAACUUAGAUUCCCAUUCACAGAAAGGACAUGAUCAUUAAAAUUAGGAUCUGUGAAAUCAUUUCUUAUCUGAAGAAAAUACUAUAUUCCAACAUGAUGGAGAAGUUAUCUUUUCUGGAUUUUUCAACACAGAGGACAUUUGUGUUCUGUGAGUUUAAUGUUUCAUUUAGAUCUUAAGAAUGAAAAACACUACAAUUGCUGUACCUUUCUUUCGUUACUUUGGACAGGAUUUAAAUAAGGGACUCUUGAUUUUGAUAGAGAGCAGUUGUUGUUUCAUUAAAAAAGAAAAAAUAAUGUACAAAUCUACUUAAUGUAUCAGAGAAGUUGAUGGAACUUCUUAAUAGUCUGAGAAACAAUUACAGUUUACAUAUUAUAGAACUGUAGAUUUGGAAGGGAAUUCAUUAGCUCACUCUUUGGGUGUGGCCAAACUUACUCAUGUCUGGCUACUUUCCUAAGUUUCUUCUCAAAAUGGAAUGUACAUUUGGAGAAAAGAGACAAAACAAGAGCAUGUAAAAACAUAGCAAAUGCCAAAUUUGUGUAUUAUAUUUAUAUAUAAUAUAUGUUAUAUAUUAUAUUUAUAUAUAAUAUAUGUUAUAUAUUAUAUUUAUAUAUAAUAUAUGUUAUAUAUUAUAUUUAUACUUUUUCCCUUCAUGAAGUCAAUUAUACCUUUUUUUUACUCUUCAUACAACUUUUAAAACACUGUGAGAUUGAAGCCAGUUUAAAUCUGAAAUACUAUAGAAUAUUAAUGACUGCAGCCUGACUAGCCAUUUUGUUAAAGCAAUUUAAAUGACAUUAGAAGUAGUAAAAACAACAUUGAUACUAUAAAUAACCAAAAUUAGUGAGAUAAAAGAUAGUAUUGAGAAAAAUCCAAAAAUGACUGAGGAAAAGGACUGAAUUGCAAGAGAUUAGAAAUGACAUCAUGGCUAUGAAGAAUAGUCGAUGGAGAUUUAAUAUACAGAAAAUAGCAAUUUAUGGACAAGAAAAGAGAAAAAAUAAAACAUUUAAUGAUAUAAUAUAAGAAAACUUU